rnacentral:lncRNA from 1 species
AAAUUUAAAUGGAGGAUUAAUUUGGUUAAAAAUGAAGGAAAAAAUAGAACUAAACAUAUGGUAUGGAAUCAAAUACCUAUCUUUUUUCAUAAACCUGAUGACAUAUUCAAACAAAGCGUAAAUGAAACAUGAAAGUUACUACUACGUACUAGAUUACAAAUUAAACUAACAUAUAAGGUUACUAACUUUUACUAAACCAAGAAAAUCAGACAGCCAAACCCGGAACAAUCCAAGAUUGGAGGUACCCUAGCUGAGCUGUUCAAGUCAGACAUGGACCAAAUUAAAUACAAAUGGUAUGUAUAAACGAAGUAAGAUGCAAAUUCAAGGCGGAAUCUCUUUUUUUUUUUUUUUGGGAAAAUGAACCACAGUUUAAAAGAAUCUACAACUUGAUUAUGAAUGAAUGAAUAAGUGACAAAAAAAAAAAGAGAGAGUAAAAUUCAGCGAAAAUUAAUUGGUGAAUUCAUCUUACAAUAGAGAAUAACAUCUUUAAUCUUCUCAUCCCUGUCUUCAUCUACCAUCGCACUACCUCCCGACGAAUUAGUCGGAGAGGAUUUUAUAGAGUGAAUGGAGCUGCUCUUCCUCGUCGCUUUAUUAGAUCUCGCCUCUCGUUGAUCCCCUUCUGUCGCCGCAUCAAAACACAUACACAGCCGCAUAAAUGGUUUCAGGAAUCCAAAGCUUCUUCCACUUUUUUUUGGUUGUGACAUUAUUCCAAAGAUUGACAAAAGGUUGAUCGUUACACUCAAAGUCUAACGAAUCUUACAAAGAAGGUUGUGUUGUGUCUAGAGUCUAGAGAUGUAAAAUGUAGAAGGAUUUAUGUGUAUCUUUUAGUUUCCUAUAGAUUAGGGAUAAUGACUAUAUAUAAACAUAGAAAAUUUAAAUACAAUUUUUGUGUUUUGACUCUUUAGUAAUCUUGUUACUAUAACAAAAAAAAGGUAAUUAUGCAAAAUUAUAAAGGCUUCUACUGUUAACCAUUAGAGGAACAAAAGGAAAAAGAACAAAAA